rnacentral:rRNA from 1 species
CACGAACGCUGGCGGCGUGCCUAAUACAUGCAAGUCGAGCGCAGGAAGCUGACGGAACUCUUCGGAGGGAAGGCAGUGGAAUGAGCGGCGGACGGGUGAGUAACACGUAAGGAACCUGCCUCAAGGCUUGGAUAACUCCGAGAAAUCGGAGCUAAUACCGGAUAGUUCAACGGACCGCCUGGUUCGCUGAUGAAAGGCGCUCCGGCGUCACCUUGAGAUGGCCUUGCGGUGCAUUAGCUAGUUGGUGGGGUAACGGCCCACCAAGGCGACGAUGCAUAGCCGACCUGAGAGGGUGAUCGGCCACACUGGGACUGAGACACGGCCCAGACUCCUACGGGAGGCAGCAGAAGGGAAUCUUCCACAAUGGACGAAAGUCUGAUGGAGCAACGCCGCGUGAGUGAUGAAGGUUUUCGGAUCGUAAAACUCUGUUGUAAGGGAAGAACACGUACGAGAGGAAAUGCUCGUACCUUGACGGUACCUUACGAGAAAGCCACGGCUAACUACGUGCCAGCCGCCGCCGUAAAAC